GACGAACGCUGGCGGCGUGCUUAACACAUGCAAGUCGAACGGUAAGGCCCUUCGGGGUACACGAGUGGCGAACGGGUGAGUAACACGUGGGUGAUCUGCCCUGCACUUCGGGAUAAGCCUGGGAAACUGGGUCUAAUACCGGAUAGGACUCCUGGCUUCAUGGUUGGGGGUGGAAAGCUUUUGCGGUGUGGGAUGGGCCCGCGGCCUAUCAGCUUGUUGGUGGGGUAAUGGCCUACCAAGGCGACGACGGGUAGCCGGCCGGGGAGGGUGCCCGGUCACACUGGGACUGGGAUACGGCCCAGACUCCUACGGGAGGCAGCAGUGGGGAAUAUUGCACAAUGGGCGCAAGCCUGAUGCAGCGACGCCGCGUGAGGGAUGACGGCCUUCGGGUUGUAAACCUCUUUCAGCUAUGACGAAGCGCAAGUGACGGUAGUAGCAGAAGAAGGACCGGCCAACUACGUGCCAGCAGCCGCGGUAA
rnacentral:rRNA from 1 species